rnacentral:tRNA from 1 species
GCCUGAGUGGCUCAGUCAGUUAAGCGUCUGGCUUCGGCUCAGAUAAUGAUCUCAUGGUUGGUGGGUUCAAGCCCCAUGUCAGGCU